GCCUUCAUGGUGUAACGGUAGUACACUCGGCGCGUGUUCCAGAGGUCCAGGUUCGAGUCCCGGUGAGGGCA
rnacentral:tRNA from 1 species